AUUGAACGCUGGCGGCAUGCCUUACACAUGCAAGUCGAACGGUAACGCGGGGCAACCUGGCGACGAGUGGCGAACGGGUGAGUAAUGUAUCGGAACGUGCCCAGUUGUGGGGGAUAACUGCUCGAAAGAGCAGCUAAUACCGCAUACGACCUGAGGGUGAAAGCGGGGGAUCGCAAGACCCCGCGCAAUUGGAGCGGCCGAUAUCAGAUUAGGUAGUUGGUGGGGUAAAGGCUCACCAAGCCAACGAUCUGUAGCUGGUCUGAGAGGACGACCAGCCACACUGGGACUGAGACACGGCCCAGACUCCUACGGGAGGCAGCAGUGGGGAAUUUUGGACAAUGGACGCAAGUCUGAUCCAGCCAUGCCGCGUGCGGGAAGAAGGCCUUCGGGUUGUAAACCGAUUUUGUCAGGGAAGAAAUCCUCUAGGUUAAUACCCUUGGGGGGAUGACGGUACCUGAGGAAUAAGCACCGGCUAACUACGUGCCAGCCGCCGCAGUAAUAC
rnacentral:rRNA from 1 species